rnacentral:rRNA from 1 species
CAAGCGAUGGGGUGACGCAGGAAGGUAGCUGGGCCAGUCAGUGGUUGUACUGGUGUAAGAGUGUAGGCCGUGACAUAGGCAAAUCCGUGUCACAUUAAGGCUGAGACUUGAUGCAUACCCGUUGUGGGGAAUUCAGUGAUCCUAUGCUGCCGAGAAAAGCCUCUAGUGAGUUCAUACACGGCCCGUACCCCAAACCGACACAGGUGAUCAGGUAGAGAAUACCAAGGCGAUCGAGAGAACUGUGGUUAAGGAACUCGGCAAAAUGCCCCCGUAACUUCGGGAGAAGGGGGACCAUGCCCGGUGAACAUCUUCACGGUGGGAGCUGGGUGUGGUCGCAGAGACCAGAGAGAAGCGACUGUUUACUAAAAACACAGGUCCGUGCGAAGACGUAAGUCGAUGUAUACGGACUGACGCCUGCCCGGUGCUGGAAGGUUAAGAGGACCGGUUAGCCGUAAGGCGAAGCUGAGAAUUUAAGCCCCAGUAAACGGCGGUGGUAACUAUAACCAUCCUAAGGUAGCGAAAUUCCUUGUCGGGUAAGUUCCGACCUGCACGAAUGGCGUAACGACUUCUCUGCUGUCUCGACCACAGACUCGGCGAAAUUGCACUACGAGUAAAGAUGCUCGUUACGCGCGGCAGGACGAAAAGACCCCGGGACCUUUACUAUAGCUUGGUAUUGGCGUUCGAUUCGGUUUGUGUAGGAUAGGUGGGAGACUGUGAAGCAUGCACGCCAGUGUGUGUGGAGUCGUUGUUGAAAUACCACUCUGAUCGUAUUGGACGUCUAACCUCGGCCCAUGAUCUGGGUUAGGGACAGUGCCUGGUGGGUAGUUUAACUGGGGCGGUUGCCUCCUAAAGAGUAACGGAGGCGCCCAAAGGUUCCCUCAGCCUGGAUGGCAAUCAGGUGUUGAGUGCAAGUGCACAAGGGAGCUUGACUGUGAGACUGACACGUCGAGCAGGGACGAAAGUCGGGACUAGUGAUCCGGCACCGGCAAGUGGAAGCGGUGUCGCUCAACGGAUAAAAGGUACCCCGGGGAUAACAGGCUGAUCUUCCCCAAGAGUCCAUAUCGACGGGAUGGUUUGGCACCUCGAUGUCGGCUCGUCGCAUCCUGGGGCUGGAGUAGGUCCCAAGGGUUGGGCUGUUCGCCCAUUAAAGCGGCACGCGAGCUGAGUUUAGAACGUCGUGAGACAGUUCGGUCUCUAUCCGCCGCGCGCGUAAGAAACUUGAGGAAGGCUGUCCCUAGUACGAGAGGACCGGGACGGACGAACCUCUGGUGUGCCAGUUGUUCCACCAGGAGCAUGGCUGGUUAGCUACGUUCGGAAGGGAUAACCGCUGAAAGCAUCUAAGCGGGAAGCCUGUUCCAAGAUGAGGUUUCUCACCACCUUGCGUGGUUAAGGCCCCCUACAGACCAUGGGGUUGAUAGGCCGGAACUGGAAGCGCAGCAAUGCGUGGAGGUGACCGGUACUAAUAGGCCGAGGGCU